ACGUAUUUAUUUUAAGAGUGAUUCCAUAUUUUAUCAAUAUACAAUGGUUCACGGAAGUACUUGAACGUUAUAGAAAUUGUGUGUAUAAUAUAAAAUACUGAAAUCUCAUUAGCAUUGUAAUGAGACAUGACGAUGAUUAUAUUGAUCUUUGAAACCAAUCUGAAGAUAGUUACAACAUAGUCACUACAAACGUAUAUUUAAUUCGAGACUAGUAUAGAUCAUGAUUAAUCAUCUUAAACAUAUAAUACGUAAAUAGUCGACUCUCGUUACAAUGCUAAUCGAAUUUCAAAGUGUUUCAUUUUUAUGUAACAUGCAUAAUAUAUACAUAAAUACUUCGUGAGCUAUUGUAUGUACAAUCGAUAGUAUCGAACAAAACGAAGAUCUAUUGAAAACGAUUGUAUCUGUGACAUAAAAAGAAUGAGAAACUACAUUAUACAUUAUUCAAAGUGUAACACGCGAAAACAACGUUUUUACAUUGAUACGUACGUUUAUAUAAUGCCUAGAGGAAAGCAGAUGGUGGUGAAUGGAUGCACGUUUCUCUUUGCGCAUGAUAACGUUUUACUAUUUUAGAUAUACUAUACGGAAUAAUUUCUAUCAAAAGUACUGAGGAUUUGAAUGAAAUUUAGAAAUGGAAAGAAAGACCUUGUAUUGAAUAACUGGUUUAAACACUAAAUAUGAACAAUAACGAUUUGCAUUGCUUAUAUAAAUACAUACAUUUACUUAUAUAAAUGUAGAGAUUUUAUAUAGACGCGCGACUAGUGAAACUCGGUAAAACUUGUACAUUUUCAUAGGAAUCGGUCGCGUUUCCAUUACAUCACAAUUUGCUUACUGCUGCGACGUUACACACAAACAUACGCGUAUCGCGUGCGUAUCGUAAGCGUAGGUAUAGAUCCUGAAACGCGAUUAUCGCGAAAUUCUCUCGAGGUUGCAACCACGAUUUUGUUAUUAUCCUUAUCAAAAAAUAUUCACCGAUUACGUACGAUAAUUUCGAUCAAAUGUGUAUUUCGAUCAUGCUGCGGUCUCGUGGCGGGAGAUAGAGCAGGUUUACUUAGCGGUUUGGUGCUAGAUGCACUUGAUCGUAUAGCCAGUAAACCAUGCGAAAUACACGGGUAAAAGUUACACAGGGUGGGAGAUUCCUCCUUCCAGACCCUGUACGCACCACCGGUUCUCACCUUUAUUCGAACCAACACCGAGCCAAGCUUGACCACCAUACGUUAUAGCCAAUAUAUUUUCCAGUGGGCCAAGCUAAGAUAUCGGGGAGAUUCUUUCUUCUCUCUGCUCUCUCCCCCUACUGUACAGAUGUGGUUGCUUUUGUACAUCUUCUUUCUACCAACGAACGUUCUUUCAGUCCGUUUUUACUGGUCAUCUCCUUCUGCUCGGUCGGUAUUGCUCCUUUUUUUCCCUCUCGCGCUCCCUUCUUUACCCUCCUCCUUAAUCGUUAUCCUGCAGGUUGCUUAUCACUUUUUAUUUGAAAAUGCGCGCUGCUAUUUUUAACCUGGGCAUUCUUCUUCCUCGCAAUCUUGUUUCUUCCCAGCUCGUCUUUCUUCUUACCGAGAAGUCCCGACGCUGUUCUCUUCUCUUUGGGCAAAUAAAAAUGUACUGUCGAGAUCCUUGUAUAUAGAUCUUUCUUUUCAUUUUAUACAGUAGUUGCAAAAAGUAUUUGCAUAUCUUUUUAAAUUUAUCAAUUAAUUAAUUAGGUACAAAUGGAUUACAUUUUGUAUUAUUUAGUGGUACGUUUCAUGUGACAGCGAAAAUUUGAUGAUUAUGAAAAUUGAAUGAACAUUCUGAUAAAAAAAUGAUUCAUUGGAAAAUAAGGUUAUUUGCUAAUUUUUUUCUUUUUUUCCUUUUAUGUAGCCAUUGUACUUCGUUUUAUUUUUUCUUCUUAAUAACGAUACGGUACUAUAAUAAUUUUUACGGACCAUAAAAAAUGUUGUUUGACUUAAAUACCGCAAAUAUCGUCUUUUGCUAGAUAUUACGUACAAUGAUUCACAAAAAUAUAUGAACACUUAUCGCAAAAAACUUUUAUGUAUGCAUGCGUAACAUGUAACUUUAUAUAAUAUUUUGAGAUUUCAUUAAUACUGUAUUGAGUUAUAUUGAUCAAAUUUGAGCCAUCUUAAACAAAUAAUAAAUCUUAAAGAUGGUUCCAGUGAAUGUUAGAACUUAUUAAUAUAAUAAAUAAUUGAUUACAUACGUUUGUGAUCUGUGCGAUUUGUACGAAAUAUAUAUACUUAAACUAAACGUUUUGUAAUCUUUCCAAAUUUUUUUCAGAUACUAUCGAUAUAAUCAUGACAGUUGUCUUAUUACAGUAUUGAUAAAAUUUCAAAAUGUUUUAUAAAAAAUUUCUUUCAUGAGCUACUGUUUUAAUGUUAUCGUAAAACGAAACUGUUUACAUAAUUAUUACAAUAAUUGUCGGUUUUUUUUUCUUGUAUGUAUAUAUUUCCCGUUGUACGCUGUCCAUAGACGUACAUUGACGUAUGAGAAACUUAUUAACGUCUAAACGUAAAAUCUGUUUUCGCUUCAGGUGUUUUUUGUAAAAUGAAAGUUGUACACGUAACGUCAUUUAACGAAACAGAAUAAAAAUAAAUGUAUUCUAUAUAGCGCCGUUCAUUCAUUGUAGCUGGAAGUAAUUGAGCGGAUUCAAUAUUAGCCUGGUCUGGUUAAGAAUAGCCACGAUGGGAAUCCCGUUUGACCACCUUGCGUGCCAGUUGCUUACUGACUAAAUUAGGGUGAAUGUUCCGUUGUGUAAAACUUAUCGUUAUUAUUUCUUUUAUCGAAUAACAAUAUUAAAUUGUCCGAUUUUAUUGUAUUGAUAAUAGAGCUGUAUUAAUAACGUGAACGUAAAAUAUAACCUAAUCAAGUAAUAAAAUUGCAAUCUAUAAA